GAUGAACGCUGGCGGCGUGCCUAAUACAUGCAAGUAGAACGCUGAAGGAAGGAGCUUGCUCUUCCCGGAUGAGUUGCGAACGGGUGAGUAACGCGUAGGUAACCUUCCUGGUAGCGGGGGAUAACUAUUGGAAACGAUAGCUAAUACCGCAUAACAGUAGAUAUUGCACUGAUAUCUGCUUGAAAGGGGCAAUUGCUCCACUACCAGAUGGACCUGCGUUGUACUUAGCUAGUUGGUGAGGUAACGGCUCACCAAGGCGACGAUACAUAGCCGACCUGAGAGGGUGAUCGGCCACACUGGGACUGAGACACGGCCCAGACUCCUACGGGAGGCAGCAGUAGGGAAUCUUCGGCAAUGGACGGAAGUCUGACCGAGCAACGCCGCGUGAGUGAAGAAGGUUUUCGGAUCGUAAAGCUCUGUUGUAAGAGAAGAACGAGUGUGAGAGUGGAAAGUUCACACUGUGACGGUAUCUACCA
rnacentral:rRNA from 1 species